rnacentral:rRNA from 1 species
UACAGAGGGUGCGAGCGUUGUCCGGAAUCACUGGGCGUAAAGGGCGCGUAGGUGGCCUGGUAAGUAGGGGGUGAAAUCUCGCGGCUCAACUGCGAGGCUGCCUCCUAAACUGUCAGGCUCGAGCAGAGUAGAGGCAGGUGGAACUCCUGGUGUAGUGGUGAAAUGCGUAGAGAUCAGGAAGAAUACCCGUGGCGCAAGCGCCCACCUGGCCGAGACCUGACGCUAAGGCACGAAAGCGUGGGGAGCGAACCGG